AAACAAGGCAAAACUAGUCAGAAACAAUAAAGAAAACGUCACAGAGUACACAACCAGAUUGAAAAACUUUCAUCGUAUAAAAAAACGGUGACGGUUUUUCAAUCUGGUUGUGUACUUUGUGAUGUUUUGUUUAUUGUUUGUGACUAGUUUUGUCUUGUUUUU